rfam:Dipodomys ordii contig_68360, whole genome shotgun sequence.
GGUGGCUCAGUGGUAGAGCGCUUGCCUUGCAAGCAUGAGGCUCUGGGUUCAAUUCCUCAGCACCA